GCGUUUACAUUUAUUUUUGAAUCAUCCGAUUCGAAAAUACGUACAACCAUAUGAGCACACUCAUUUGGAUACUGUUUUUUUUAUCGCUUGCUAAUAAUAAAGCUAUUUGCUUCCUCUUUUUGGGUACAUUUCCACGGGAAAUCAAUCAAAUCGGGGGUGUGAUAUCAGCACCUGACCAUGGGGUGGGGGCACCAAAGGCUGAGCCCCAAGUGGUUCCCGCCCGCGUGACAAUUUACAGAAAUCGUAUGUUAUGGAAGUAAACUCCCCUCUUCUCAAAUAUCAUCUAAUUUCUGGUUUUCAGCUUCAAUUUGAUACUAAAACAAUAAUUUGUGGGAUUGAGUGCUUCCUUCGGCGUGCAAGACGAGAAAUAAUGAUACCAGCCAAGUGUCAAAUUGUCUAAAUUCCUAGUAAUUGACAUGAUUCGAAUAGAAUCUUUGUGUUACAAUGCGGGCCUCUGAACUUUCAAAAGAAACAAUAGCAAUGCCUCCGUUUCGAAUAUCUACAAUUCUGAAGUAAUCGUCUACAUUGUUUCUUUGCAACUCAAUGCGGGUCAGCUUUCGUCUUGGAUCCUUGUGUCAUUUCAGUGGAAUAUCUCCCCAGUUGGAUUGAGAAUCAAGUGCAAUGGGGAUUUGUAGUUAUCAAGAAAACAAGGGAAGGAAAUAAAACAGUAACUUUAUUAUUUAUA